GUUCAUAUGGGGAAACAAAAACAGGACAACAUCCUUUCGAACCCAUCCAGCCCAACACCAAAAUGACCCAUUCCCAUUCACAUCCACUCUUUUAUUCCUAGUCCAAUUUAAUAUUAUACCGACCCGCUGCAUUUUCUUUUUUUUUUUUUACAAAAAUCCCAGAUUGCAACUUUUGCAACAAAUCCUUCAAGACGCAUCAGCAUUUUCAACGUCAAACAGUAGCAAAUUCAGGGCGUCCCCAGCGGAGCGCGUGAGAAAUUCCGAUGCGCCUCCACCUUCUUCACGCGAGCAAAUUAAUGGAGGAAUACGGAAGGCGAAUCACCAAUGAUAAAGGACGUGUCUCCUUUCUUUAGGCUGCUGUUCAUCGGAGUUAUAGAAAUCAUAUCGUGGUGGUGGAAGCUUGUCGUUCUGCCCAUGUUGUCUCCAUUUCGCUGCACUUCGAAAGGUAACUUCGUUUCAGCUCAUCUCCUCUAUAUUCCUUUAUGUGUUGAAUGUCUGCUUUGGUCACUGUGAGUUCGUCUUAUGUCAAAAUUUUUAGAUUUGUUUCAAUUUAUUUUUACUGCCAAUCGGUGAUGGUUUCUGUGUGUGUUAUUCGUUUUGUUACUCAUUACCCUUUUCGAUGAAAUUUCUUUUUGAUUUCUUCCUCACCUCAAGCAUACAUACUUACCUUUGUUGAUAUUUUUCAUGUCACUGUGUUUCUUGCACUGGCGGUUGUGAGUCAUGCUAAUAGUUACCCUCUGUGUCUAGUUACUCGUUAUAAUCUCGAUUUAUUUCAUGCAGGUGAAAUAAAUUUGAAAAAUAUUUAUUCCAAGUAGUUUAAAUUACCGCUUCAAGUUGGUUUAUUUCGUUCCUUUUUUCUAAUGCUACCUUUCUUAGAUUUUUUUCAUUUUUUUUAUGUCUUUAUUCAUCUUUCUUUCCUGUGAAGCAUGCUAAAAAAGAUGCAUAGAUUUAAGUCGUCCUCAAGGACGAUGCUCGACUAUGUCCUUAAGAUUAGAAGCUCCGCAACUUAAAAUGACCUUGGAGUUCCGUCUUCUGCUUUAGUUUAAAAUUAAUUAAUCUUCGCAAGUGGGGUGUGUGAGAUUCUGAUUUUUGUUGCCUUUAUUUUCAAAUCGUGACUAUUUUAAUGUAUUACUGCAAGACCAUUCUGAUGUCUCUGUUUGCUGCUCAUAUCUUUGAUUUUUCAUUUUUUUAUUAUAUGUCAAAAUGAGAACAAGCAUGAAUUUUAGAGCCAACAGAAGCCAAAAAUAGAUUUAUUCAUAAUUUGCAUGUUGUUCAUAUCUACAUUUUCUGGUUUGCAUUUAAUGGUGAUUUUCUUGGUUGAAUAAUGCAUUUACUGUAAUUUUGCUCUUUUAAAUGAGUCGACGACAUUUGUGAAUGGGCAUCAGGAGAACAUCUGCUUUCCUCGUAUUAGCCACCGAUGAGUAGUCGAAGAUUAAAUAUAGCCUGUAAAUUGUAUUCCUCAUUUGUGUACGACCGAUUGAUGCAUUUACUGUACCAAUUGCUAUUGUUAGUGUAUAUUUGUCCUCUCAUGUUUGUUGUUGCCUUGCUAUUUUAACUAAAGGACCGUCUAAAUCAAGUGAUCACUAAUUAAUUGUCAUAGAGUCAUUAUAGUUGCGAGAUUCCAAAUAGCAUAGUGAUUUAGUUAUUACUAGAAGUCUAUAACUUCUUAAUUUCGGCUAUAGUUUCUUUUUUUUUAUAUAUAUAUUAUUAUUAUUAAGUCAACGGGCAUCGACGUGCUAUCUGAGCAUGGAUUUAAGUUUUUCAGUUAUAGGGUACUUAUUAGUGUUUUUACAUUAGAAUAUGGUACUAUAUAAAUUUUAGAACAUGGUAGCGUAAAUUCUUUUUAUUAGUGCGUUUUCCUAUAUUGAAUAGGACUCUUACUUACUAAUUUUCAUUUUGUGUUUCACAUGUGAAAUUUGUCCGGGUCCCAUGGACCUUAUCUCCACAUUUUCCUAUUUGGGCCACGAAGGCUCAAACCUCUGUCCCUCGAGUCUUCCACCUACAAAAUCGACGUAUAUGUCAAAAUUUGGAAAUUCCAAGUGGGAAGAGUUGAAGAAGUUGAAGAUUUUUGGCCAAGAAAGCCCAAUUUUAAUUUCAAAAUGUUGUAUUUUGUUAUUUUUGGACCUAAGACCUCUUUGUAUUAUUAUUAUCUUGUAAACUUAGGACAGGUACAAAAGGGAAAUGAUUCAAAAACACCAAGCAAAAAAGGUCGAAAUACCAGUCCGGUCGGACAGAAUUCGGAUUUACCCAA